AAAGUUAUUUUCCUCUUUGUUGAUUCCCUGGCAUUUCCUCCCCUAACCUCAACUCCACAGGAGCACCAAUUACCUUCACAUGUGAUGGGAUUCACUUACCUGGGGAGGAGUGGAGAGAGGAGGAAUCUACCCUGGUACUCCAGUAACAAACCCUGGCAUGGACAGUGGAAGCGGGACCUCCACUGCGAGUAGAUCUCAUUAGCAUCAGCUGCUCCCAGCAUAAAAACAGCACAAUUUUCUUCCCAAGGCAUCUCUCUGAUCAUUAGUGAUAGCUCCACGGGACUGAGUGUACAUGAUUCUAACCAGUAAAGGAGAACUUGGGAAGUGUUGCUGUCUGAUACCAUGAACUGGAGAGGAAGAAGUUCUGCUUUGGGAAUGUUAGAAACCUCUCCUGUUAACAGGGUAGCUUCCGCACGUAUCUGCAGCUAGAGUAUUUGGAGCGAGCUAAUGCUUUGGCCCGACAGAAAGAGGUUUCCUCCCUGCUGCCUGCUGCGCUGCGGAGGCUGUCAUAUGGGGGUCCCGUGCUGCGCAUCCUCUCUAUGCCUGACGACACCUUAAUCAUGAUCAGAGAAGAUGGAGCUAUUUAUUUCUGGUCCCUGCAGCUGAAGUUGAAAAGAAGAAAGCGGGUCUUUGUAUGUGAUUUUCAUUUGAUAAGGAUGCUGAGUGCUACAGUUUGAUUUUAUUUGCUAUUUUAAACUGCUUCUUAAGUGGUGUGAUUACAUAAAUUGUGUCCUUGAAUAUAAUAUAUUCAUGCUGGAUUUUGCUAGUCUGUAGAAUGCAAAUAAAAUAUGAUCUCUCUAUGUAGUGCAAGAUAAAGC
rnacentral:lncRNA from 1 species